rnacentral:tRNA from 1 species
GACUUCAUUAUAGUUGUUUUGAAAGCAGCUUAUAAGAAUGCUUCUUUAAAGUCU